GUUCAGAGAGGGGUCAAUGUCCUAUCAGCUAGUUGGGAGGGUAAUGGCCUACCAAGGCGAAGACGGGUAGCCGGCCUGAGAGGGUGGUCGGCCACAUUGGGACUGAGACACUGCCCAGACUCCUACGGGAGGCUGCAGUCGAGUAUCUUUCGCAAUGCCCGAAAGGGUGACGAAGCGACGCCGCGUGUGGGAAGAAGGCCUUCGGGUUGUAAACCACUGUCAGGAGUUAAGAAGUGCAAGGGUGCGAAUAGCGCCUUUGCUUGACUAAGGCUCCAGAGGAAGCCACGGCUAACUCUGUGCCAGCAGCCGCGGCAAUACAGAGGUGGCAAGCGUUGUUCGGAAUUAUUGGGCGUAAAGAGCACGUAGGCGGUUCUGCAAGUCGGCUGUGAAAGCCUUCCGCUCAACGGAAGAACAGCAGUUGAUACUACAGGACUAGAGUGCGGGAGGG
rnacentral:rRNA from 1 species